rnacentral:rRNA from 1 species
UACGGGGGGGGCAAGCGUUUGUUCGGAAUUACUGGGCGUAAAGAGCGCGCAGGCGGUCGAGUAAGUCGAAUGUGAAAGCCCCCGGCUCAACUGGGGAGGGUCAUUCGAUACUGUUCGACUUGAAGGCAGGAGAGGGCAGCAGAAUUCCCGGUGUAGUGGUGAAAUGCGUAGAUAUCAGGAGGAACACCGGUGGCGAAGGCGGAUCUCUGGGCCAUUACUGACGCUGAGGAGCGAAAGCGUGGGGAGCGAACAGG